rnacentral:rRNA from 1 species
AUUGAACGCUGGCGGCAUGCUUUACACAUGCAAGUCGAACGGUAACAGGGUGCUUGCACCGCUGACGAGUGGCGAACGGGUGAGUAAUGCGUCGGAACGUGCCGAGUAGUGGGGGAUAACGCAGCGAAAGUUGUGCUAAUACCGCAUACGUACUGAGGUAGAAAGUGGGGGACCUUCGGGCCUCGCGCUAUUCGAGCGGCCGACGUCUGAUUAGCUAGUAGGUGAGGUAAAGGCUCACCUAGGCGACGAGCAGUAGCGGGUCUGAGAGGAUGAUCCGCCACAAUGGGACUGAGACACGGCCCAGACUCCUACGGUAGGCAGCAGUGGGGAAUUUUGGACAAUGGGCGAAAGCCUGAUCCAGCCAUGCCGCGUGUCUGAAGAAGGCCUUCGGGUUGUAAAGGACUUUUGUCGGGGAGGAAAUCCCCAGCGUUAAUACCGCUGGGGGAUGACAGUACCUGAAGAAUAAGCACCGGCUAACUACGUGCCAGCAGCCGCAGUAAUAC